UGCUGGUGCCACAGAUUUAUCUUGGUUCAUCCUGGGGUUAUAAAGCCCCACCUAGAAGUCUGGCCUGUGGCCAGUGCUAGAGGGGAGCUGUGGAGCAAACCUCAAGAGCCUUCUUGAGGUGUUUGUUUUUCUUUGCAGGUAGAGGGGCAAAGAGAUAAAUAGAUGGGAACCCAAAAGGACGUGUUGAAGGCUGGUUUGGGGCACCAAAAAUUUCCUGAUGGCUCAAAGGCAGCGAUUUUUGAAAUACAGACGCUGAGAGGAAAUCAUGGAGUUUUAGUCCCACACAGAAAGGUGAUCUGGUAGAAGACACUUCCAGGGAACAGAGAGAGAAAACUGAAGAGCAUUUAGAAAGCCAUAUGUGAGCCUUAGAUUUCAGGAAGAAACCUUAGGUCCUGUGAAUAAGCCUUGCUAACUUCGACUGUUUUGCUAAAUAAUGGAACUAAACAGAGGGACUAAAAUUGUUCUCAGGCUUUUGGAUUGACAUAUAAUUUUGAAGACUAGUUUGGCCUUGUCUUGUUUUAUAAGCAAAAGGGUGGCUGUUAUCACAUUCAAAUUCCAUUUUUAAGAAACAUGAGAUAACUCAAUUUCUCUCCAUUUGCUUUUUUAGCAAAACAAGUUUCAUAUGGCUUCUGUAAUGAAUGAGCUGGAGCGAGUCAGUAAAGGUGGCUGUGUUUUGACUGCUGCAAACUGUGUAUUGACACCCUGAACUGUGCAGAGCUGGGUCAGUUUGGCUUUAAAGACUCUUGGAUGUUUUCAAGUUCAGGGAUGGGUGUCUGUUGCUCCUGAAGCAAUUACCUGUGCAGGCAUGGGAAACCCUUCUUCUUGGAAGUCAGAUUAUCAUUUCAGCCUUCCCAUGAAGAGAAAGCCUUUGUUGCAUAUUCUCAGAACUGAGAUGGAGACGAUCAGCUAAAGGUAUGCUUAGACCAACGCCCUGAACUCCACAGAGACACCAUCCCAAAUUAAUUCUCCAGGUUGCAGCUGCAUGAUCUUGCUAAAGAAG